rnacentral:lncRNA from 1 species
CCGCUGGAGGGGUCUGGCUGCUGGAGCCCGUGUGUCGUAGGAGUUCGUCCGGAAUCUAUCUACUACAGAAGUUUGGUCGGAGUCUGGUUCCCAUAGAAGUCCGAAUGGAGAUUGUUUGUUGAGGAAGCUCGGCCAAAGCCUGCCUGCAAUAAAAGUUCGGAAGGAAUUCGUUCACAAUAGAAGCUCAGGUGGAGGCUUACAGUAGAAAUCGAACGUGGACC